CCUCCUGUGUUUUCUUCCAGAUGUUUUAUAAUUUUGAGUUUUAAAUGGAAUACAAGGAGAUCCAUGGUGGAAGAUGAGACAAAAGUGAUGUGUUGGGUCAGGUUGGAAAGCGACUACCACCCUAAGGAAUUUAGAGUUUGCCUUUGACCAUGGUGAAUGAUGGAAGGUAAAUUUACGCAGAGGG